CGGAUGUGCCAGCCAGGCAGAGGAAGUCCACCUUUCCUCCCCACCUAUCCCCUGAGAUUCACAGAGGCAAGGCGGAGAAAAAGCCCUUGUGCUCCUUGCUGCUUUCCCCCAACCCCUUAGUAGUGUGGACACUGAUUAACUACAGCUGGGAUCUAGCGUGCCCCGCCUGUCUUUGAAAUCGAUCAAUGAGUUCCUUCUCGAGGAAUGCUCCCCGUUAACUGUGGAGGAGGAGGUGGUGGCUGUGGUGGUCCUCUCCAACAUGGGCGUUCUGGUUCUGACUGCCUAAGAGAAGGUAUUAAAAGUGGAUAAAUAAUGUGCACUGCACUGAGCCCAAAGGUACGCAGUGGACCUGGCCUCUCUGAUAUGCAUCAGUACAGCCAAUGGCUGGCCAGCAGACAUGAAGCUAAUUUGCUACCGAUGAAAGAAGAUCUGGCUUUGUGGUUAACCAAUCUAUUAGGAAAGGAGAUUACGGCAGAAACGUUUAUGGAGAAAUUGGAUAAUGGUGCCUUGCUCUGUCAACUUGCAGAGACUGUUCAGGAGAAAUUCAAAGAGAGCAUGGAUGCUAAUAAGCCC